GGUCCGAAUUGUUCACGUGUAUA
rnacentral:siRNA from 1 species